CCUUGCUCUGCCUCAAGUCUGUUGCUCUGCCUGAAGUCUCAAAUUCUGUUUCGUUUUUUGUUUUCCUUUUUUAUGUAGGUAUCUCAAUGUCUCAUCCUGCUAAACUUCGGAUCAUACUCAAAGACCAUAACAUUCGAAAAUUGGACUUACCACAUGGAAUCCCUGGAACAGUGGAGGAACUUGAAUCUAUUGUGAAAGACACUUUUGAGGUUGAUGGAAAGUUUACUUUGCACUAUAAGGAUGCUGACUUUGGAGAAGAAUAUUUUUCUCUGACAUCAACAGGUGAUAUCAAGGACAAGGACACACUCAAGGUGGUUCAGAUUAUUGAACCCCCCACAGUUACUCUGACAUUUAGUGAUGUAGACAGUUCCUUUAUAUCUGCAUCAGAGACCUUGGUCAAUGCUUCAGCAAUGUCAGAGACUUCCAGUGUGUCCUGUGGCACCAGUUGCUCAUCUGGAUCUCAGGAUACAGUAAUUCUUUCCUCACCUGAACAUCUGAGUCAGCGUUUACAGCGCUGGCCUACCAGUUUUUCUGUUCCUCGCUUUGCUUAUGACACUGAGCUUUUACUUGCUUCAGGAAAUGAAGCUUUCAAAAAGGAUGGAACUAAACUCAACUUUAUUCCAGUUCUUCCAGAUAUCCUUGAGAAAUUGGCUGAAACGAUCUUUCAGUAUGUUGCCUACCCAACAUCUGCACAGUUAGCAGAUGUAGCUGAAGCACUUGUUCGACAGCAUCCAUGCCUUAAAGAACCAGGAUCCUAUAAUGGAUGCUAUGGAUGGCAACAAAGACUAAAAUAUAAAAUGGGCAAUUACAGAAGUAAACUCAGAGGGCUUGGGUGCCCUGAGCUGGAUGUGAACUCUCUCAAAAGAAAGCAAGCACAUGAGAAGACACCUUCAAAGAAUCUUAAAAAGCCAAGAAAGGCUGAGGUGAACUAUUUGCCACCUAACCCACAAGGAGAAACAGAGGAAAGUUUGGAAAAGGAAAGAUUGCAACUUCUUGAUGAAGUGAAGAAGAGGAACAACUAUCGGAUCAUCAGUGAAAAAAUGGCCAAAACAUUCUCGAGUCGCAGACAGGAAGUUGUUAAUCUGGCACCACCUGUCAGUGACUUCAAAAGUAGAUGGCCUGCACUUUUUGAUGCAACACAGAUAAAUGACGAGUUCCAAAGGAUCACCACUGUUAACUUGGAAACAACAUUCAUGGCAAAACUGGACCAGUAUUCCGCAAGAAUAAUGUCCCUGGCCUCUUCAAAAGCAGGAGCAUUGUUGGCUAUCUUUUAUUGAAGAGUGAAUAAGUGAAAAUCGGAGGUGGACAG